rnacentral:rRNA from 1 species
AGAGUUUGAUCCUGGCUCAGAAUCAACGCUGGCGGCGUGCCUAACACAUGCAAGUCGAACGAGAAAGUGGAGCAAUCCAUGAGUAAAGUGGCGCACGGGUGAGUAACACGUGACUAACCUACCCUUGAGUGGGGGAUAACCUGGGGAAACCUUGGCUAAUACCGCAUAACACCUACGGGUCAAAGGAGCAAUUCGCUUAAGGAGGGGGUUGCGGCAGAUUAGUUAGUUGGCGGGGUAAUGGCCCACCAAGACAGUGAUCUGUAUCCGGCCUGAGAGGGCGCACGGACACACUGGAACUGAAACACGGUCCAGACUCCUACGGGAGGCAGCAGUGGGGAAUUUUGCGCAAUGGGGGAAACCCUGACGCAGCAACGCCGCGUGGAGGAUGAAGUCCCUUGGGACGUAAACUCCUUUCGACCGGGACGAUUAUGACGGUACCGGAAGAAGAAGCCCCGGCUAACUUCGUGCCAGCAGCCGCGGUAAUACGAGGGGGGCGAGCGUUGUUCGGAAUUAUUGGGCGUAAAGGGUGCGUAGGCGGUUCGGUAAGUUUCGUGUGAAAUCUUCGGGCUCAACUCGAAGCCUGCACGAAAUACUGCCGGGCUUGAGUGUGGGAGAGGUGAGUGGAAUUUCCGGUGUAGCGGUGAAAUGCGUAGAUAUCGGAAGGAACACCUGUGGCGAAAGCGGCUCACUGGACCACAACUGACGCUGAUGCACGAAAGCUAGGGGAGCAAACAGGAUUAGAUACCCUAGUAGUCC